GAACGUGGAGAGAUUCAGGGCAAUGAAAACAGACGGAGAAAAACAUUCUUUUAAUGAAAACAAUUUUAAAAUAAAAUAAAUGAUGGUUAUAAACAGAUUGGUUGUGAGACUUGGCCAUUGUCCAGGGCCCUGUCUGAACUCCUUUGGUACCAGGAUGUUUCACAAGAUAAUAGGUAUUACAUAGGUCAGAUGGUCAUGUCAGUUGAUUUUCUGAAUCUGGAUCCUGUGUUUUCUUCUUUGAAGAUCCAGCUGGAGUGAUGGUCAGGUGCUGGUCAGCAAGCAUGCCACAUGGCCAUGGAGGAUGUGGGACCACUCGGACACGGCUUGAAGGGCUUCCCAGGAAGACCCAAGCAAUUACUGACAAAUAGUGGCAUGCUCGAUGGGGCAUGCCCCCAUAUCUGACCAGACAGAAAGAUCAAUUAAAUCCAUGGAUCAACUAUGUUCACAACUGAAUCAAAUAGCUACAAAAAA